rnacentral:rRNA from 1 species
UACAGAGACUGCGAGCGUUAUUCGGAUUCACUGGGCGUAAAGGGUGCGCAGGCGGCCAAGUGUGUGAGGCGUGAAAGCCCGGGGCUUAACCCCGGAAUUGCACCUAAAACUACUUGGCUAGAGCAUUGGAGAGGGGAGCAGAAUUCAUGGUGUAGCAGUGAAAUGCGUAGAUAUCAUGAGGAAUACCAGAGGCGAAGGCGGCUCCCUGGACAAUUGCUGACACUCAGGCACGAAAGCGUGGGGAGCAAAAGGG